UUUUUCACCAAUUUUCUGGAAGCUAAGUAUUUCUUAAUCUCAGCUUCACCUCCACAUCUUCGGCGGAAACUUGACUGAAGUUCACGUGUGGAUUCCUUUGUCAGAAGUAAUACAUCUUUAGCGGAGCUGCACACAUCCAAGAGCCGGAGAGAUCCAUCUAGUAGCUCUGCCACACCUUCUUCAUUCAACUCUCGGGUUAAUGUUUGUUGGCAGAGAGGCAAGAGAAGCAGCUUCUCAACACACUCAUACAGAUCUUGAAGGGCACUUAUUUUGCCACAAACUGAUGUUGAUAAUGUUGAUGCAGAUACUGAAGACUUUAUUCUGCACAAUUGGACAUCAACUUGUUGUAGAAAAGGAUGUGUUAUGCAAGGGAAGCUAUGGGACCGAGCAUGGUAGGCAGCCAUUUUUUUUAGAGAAAAGAGAGGGUUAGCAGAUGAAUUCUGAUUUCACUGUAAACAAUUUGCCUUGUGUCUUUUGCUUCCCCUCAUUAUAUAUUGCAGGUCAAUGGAGACAGAAAGAAUCUUUUUUCUUCUUCCUCUUCGUUAUCAAUUAUUAAAAGUGAAGAGUGUUCUGGAUUUAGGUAGUCUGUCAAUAAUGUUUAUGCAUGUCUCCCUCUUACCACAUCUCCAGGUCAGCUUUCCUAAAGAAUAUACAGACGCUUGAGUGGCACUAAGAGAGCCCUAGGACAAGAGACAAUAGCCUUACCAUCUCAUCUUUACUCACUGUAUGUUGUUGCUUUCGAUUUCUUAAAAUAAUUUCAUCUGCCAGUCCAUCUCCACAUGAAAAUGACACCAGUAAUCUCUAUCUAAUUGUACACAACCAUUUCCACCUAAAUGCAUCAAUAAUCCAUGUUAAGGACUGAUUGAAAAAUUUGAUGUUGCAUGUUCCUUAUCUGGCUUCUGCACAAGUAGUAUGCAAGUUAUUCAUAAUCUAAUAUCACCUUUUCUUUUUUUUUUCUUUCAUUGAAAAUGGCUUGAGGCUGAACUAGGCUGGAUAAAUCAGACUGUCUCUCCAAACAGAGAAAGCCAGAAUAUCUUCUUUAGUUUUUGUCAAUAUUUAAUCUUCUGCCUAUAGACAAUUCAGGUCAGUAGCAUGGAGGACGCAAAUAAUAUGCUUUAUAUGUAUCUCUGUAAAGUCAGGUUUUUCCCUCAAUGCGUGCCUGUUGGAUGUGCAUGGAUGCUAACUCCAGUUUAUUAAUAAACAAUUUACUUGAAUUUUCACUUUAAUCAGCAUUUCCUGCAAUAUUUAGAUGAGAUCUGCAUACUCGGCCAUAACAUACCUGACAAAAAUGGAGACAAAUGGUUAGUGAGGACAAUAACUCUGCCAUCCUCUAUAAAAUGUUAGAGUACUUUCACUUUUAUAAAACACAUUUUAGACAUGUUACCAAGUCUUGUGAAAAGAUUAUAGCUAGUGAUAGAAAAGGUAUAUUCAUCUUGUAAUAUCAGGUCUGAGUCUUUCGAGUUCUUGUGCAUCAAUGUGGAUGCUUAUGGAUUUUUAUAUCAAUCAAUUGAUUUUCCUCAAGACAUAUAUGAUGCUCUUAAAAGAAAAAAGGACAAAAAAAUAGUAUGGCUGCAAGAUCUUCUGAGAACCAGUGUUUAACUUUAGUAUGAAUUGAAGAGUACAAAUACUUUUAGUCUAUAUACAGAGCAUCAUGAUUUUUUUUUUUUGGCUAGUGAUUAGCGACAUUGAUAAAGGAGACUCUGGUCCUGAUCAACUUUCUGUAUAUGCACUCAAGUCCUUCUUCAAGAUCUUGAAUGCACAACUCUAAAUUUUUCAACUGCCCUUGCACAUGUUCAACAAGCAUGCUGUUGUCAUAUUUGCUCAUCCUGUGACCAUAAAGAGAUUGCAAGACACCAUCCACCUUAGCAAUUUCAUUUCCGUCGUUCUCUUCAUCCUUGCAUGCAACUAUUUUGUGGUGCAUCAGUUGGGAAACUACUGACCACCCUCUAGGCUUCAAUUGCGAAUUUGAGCCCGAGAUAUAGAGCAAGAAUGAGUUGAAGACGUUGAGGGUAAAGGUUUCCACCUCUGUUAACAUGCUAACCAUGCCACUGUCUCAUGGUCUUUGUCACAUUGUUUUUGCAUUCCCUUCAAGCUCCCCAUAGCCUUAUAGGUUUCUUUCUUAAUCAUCUUUCUUGAGGCUAAUAAUAUCUUAACCUCUUCUUCAACUCCACAUCUUGUCCAAAUGAUUGAAAAAGUUCUCAUGUGAAUUCCUUUGUUUGCAGCAAGGCAUCCUUAGCAGUGCUGCAGAUGUCCAAGAGCCUAAGAGAACCAUCCAGCAAGGCGUCCUUGUGCUAAUGUUCUUUGGGUGAGAGGUGAGAAGCAACUUUUCAACACAAUCAUGCAAAUCCUGAGGGCCAGUUAGAUUGUGGUUUAUUGAUGAGGACUGUGAUGAUGCUUCUUCUGAGACCCUUAUUCUGCAUAAGUUCUCUUCAACUGUGGGAGGAGAGGAUGUUGUCUGGAAGGCCAACUGUUGGAGCGAACAUGAUAGGCAGCCAUUUUUACCUACAAAAAGAGAAGGCAUAGAAAGUGAAUAUUGCUAAUUUCCUGUUUGCUUUCCUUCUGUUCUUUGCAUACCUUCAAUGCAUAUAUUAUAGGUUAAGAGAGACACAAGGAAUCUCUUCCACUUCAAUUAUGGAUCAUUAGUAGAAAAAUAUUGAUUCGGAUCUAUAUCCUAUCUCAGCAAUGUUUAUUUAUGCUUGUCUCCCCCUCAGCAGACCCCCAACUCGUCAUCACAUUACUAAAAACUCCUAGAAUCAAUCGUGUUGGUCCUAUAUAAUAUAGGAACAUUGCACGAGUGGCUGAAUAAUAUGCGUACGAAAUGACAUUAUGAUAAUCCUCAAUACUAAUUCAAACAUUUAGAGUGCUCAUCAGAUUGCUGUGCAGUGGGCAGGCAAGAUCUUCAUAAACGGGAUUACUUGUCUUCCUCUAAAAUAUCAAAACUGCAAAUAGCAUAUGAAAUGAAUUAUUAGUUGGCUAGGUGAAUAAGACUUUUUCUUCAAACAGAUGAAGGGCCAGGCUACUUCUUAACUGUGCAAGUGUCAUUAAUUUGUUUCUGGUAAGUAGUUGAUCAUUUGCUUGGAGAGAACUAGCAUCUUAGACCAUGUGGGAUCUGAGUUCACCAAGUGCAACAGAUCAUACACGGGAGAGAGAAGACUGUGUAUUUAUCGUCAAGAUUUACUUAUUAUUUAUCAAUUAAAACUUAAACUUACCAUGCUUGUAAUUUAUCUAAUCUGAACUCACACAUCGUCUGUGAUUUUUUUUUUUUUUUGAAAUAUAAAGCAUCUAUGGUUAUUCUUAACUAGAUGGUCGAAUACUUGAUGGUUGAAUUUUGUUUCUUUACCAACUGAAUGUAGAAUGAGAUAUUAGCCGUAACAUUUGCACAAACGAAUGUUACUGAGAGAGAAGAAAGACAAGAUAAUAGAAAAGAGAAUUUAUUGAAAAUAGUAUUUAACUGUAGUAUAAUAUUAUUACAUGUGUAAUUUCUCUAUGUACAGAUCCCAAAAUUGAGUAUGGUUAAGUCUUGACUCUCUUGCUAGGCUAGUGAUUGAAGAUAUUGAGGAAGGAAACUCUAGUUUUAAUCAAUCGUCUGUACAGGCAUUCAAGACCAUCUUCAAGUUCUUGAAUGUACUGCUCCAAAUCUUUUAGCUGGUUUUGUACAUUCUCAAGAAACAUAUGUUUAUCACGUCUGCUUUCCUUGUGACCGUAGAGAGAUUCCAAUGCGCCAUCUGCCUGCAUAAAUUUGUCAUUGCCUAAAACUUCUUCAGAUGCCACUCUUCUGUGGUGCAUCACUUUCGAAACCAAUGACCAACCACUUUUCUUUUUUUGCAGAUUAGACCCUGAGAUAAGAGACAAUAGGGAUUUGAGAGCAGCGGCAGUUACUGCUUCAACUUCUCUUAGCAUACUUACUACAGCCAGAGCUUCAUGGUCUUUGUUGAUGGGCGAGAUACUGCAUUUCUUUUCCACACCCUUCAAGUUUCCCAAAG
rnacentral:lncRNA from 1 species